UCUCUCUCUCUCUCUCUCUCUCAUUCUCAUAACUGCGUGCUCUCGGUCUAAUAACCAUUAACCAUGGCAACAAGGUUGGCUGCUAGAUAUGUAUCUCGAAGGUUCUCAAGUGGUGGCAAAAUACUUAGCGAGGAGGAAAAGGCUGCGGAGAAUGUUUACAUCAAGAAAACUGAGCAAGAGAAAUUGGAGAAGCUUGCACGAAAGGGCCCUAAACCAGAAGAGAAAACUACCUCAGCCUCAGCAGGAUCACCAACUGAGGUCAAACCAAGUGCUUCAGAUUCUUCAACAUCAGGAGCAUCUGCCGAAAAAGUAUCAAGCGAUAAAUACCGGAACUAUGCAGUUGUAGCUGGUACAAUUACAGUUUUUGGUGCUCUAGGAUGGUAUCUAAAUUCCCGUGGGAAGAAGACUGAAGGGAUCCAAGACUGAGGUCAAUUUGCUUGAGUGUGAAGACUAAAGAGGCAUCUGUUGGUUUUUACUAUCAACCCUGGACUUCGCAAUAAACAAGAUUUUACCAUGCGUUGACACGGUAUUGUUUGGUUCUGUUAGAACCAUGUGUGACUUUAUUUAAUUUUUUUUUUCAAUUUCUGCAUUUAGCAGUGGCUUUUGGGGAUGUCCUCAUACUUUUUUUGAAAUCACAAGAGGUAUUAUCUGAGAUGAAUUCCGUAAAAAAAAA
rnacentral:misc_RNA from 1 species